UCUGAGGGCUGUGGGACGGAUGUGAGGAAAUAGUGCAAGCUCUGCACUUUAAAUGUGAGCUGUACGCCGUUAGCAGAAGAGAGCACCGGGUGAGGGUAUUCAGUGUGGACUCCAGUGAAGGAUACACACGCCGGUGACUCAAGAUCCAUCACUCUUCACCCCGUUCCUCCUGCAUAUGCGAUCAGAGUUUAAUCCAGAGAGUGCUUGCUGAGCGGGGAGUGAGCGGUUCUUGGUGUAGAGAUGGGUCCAUCCAGGAAGGAACUUCUGUUCCCAUCACUGCUUGCUCAGAUGGAGAAUACGCAGAAGUCUGAACAUAAAACACGUUCCCCGCUCUUCUCUACUGUUCUUUGUGCCAAGAAAACAAAAUCUCGAGAAUUGCAGAGGAGG